AGAGUCGUUAGUGUCUCAUCCCUGACAAGCUACUCAGCAACAGUAAGAGCCAGGACCUACAGUCUACAGUUGUUGACAAACUACUGUUAUGUGCCGUGGCUACUGUUAGUACGUAACGGUAAAAACAGAAAAGAGGCAAAACACUAAUACUGUCUCUAUAAAACACCAGUCCUACUAACAUUAGCUUUGUAACUUUAGGUGUCAAGCUGUAUGUAAAAUCUACUGUGACAACAGUGUAUGAGGUGUAUUGGACAUUUCAGCUCCAUCAGGAGGAAAAACCUUUUCAACAGAGUGUGGGUGUUUAUCUGUUGUAAUUUGAAUUGUGUCAGAAGAACCUGCAUUUUCAGAAGCAUCUGUUUGAGACUUCACUGGAUGGUUUCAAAUAUCAGACAUCUGCUGCAACCCUAAGGACAUGAAACUACACGCUUCAUUUGACCCCUAACCCUCACAAGCGUUGUGCAUCCAUUAGCUAUACUGACUUGGAAUUGUGGGGGAUGUUGGACUCCAUCCCAGAAUACACUGGACAAGAGCAAGAAACUGAUGCACCUGGAGGAAAUCUGCACAGACAAAGAGAGAACCUGCAAUAUUCAAGCGCAGAGAAAAACAAUUUGCUAUUUGCACAAAGCCGUGUGGCCACCACGAGGUCCCCACACUGGUUGCCCUCAUACACAAAGACUGUUCUGCUG